CAGACACCCGCGUGUCCCGUGGGAGAGUGAAGUUGAGGCCUCCUCUUUU
rnacentral:sRNA from 1 species